GUUUGUAUAGUUUAAUAAAAAAUUUCAGUUUGUGGUUCUGAGGAUUCAUUUUUGUUACAAACA
rnacentral:tRNA from 1 species